UGNGAGGGCCCUCUUGCAGCUGAUUGU
rnacentral:piRNA from 1 species